UAUUGGUCAAUAGCCUAACGGCUGAACCAGCAACUUGGAGGAAUGUAUAGGGAAAACUGGUAAAAUGUGAUGUACCUAGUAGUAUUAGUAAUUAAUAUGAGAUUAACUAAGUUAAUUAAAAUUCUAAGUAGAUAUUUGAUAAUGACAAUAUCUGCAUAGGUCUUGACCAAGUCACGUGCCAGCAGUCGCGGUAAUACGUGGAAGACAAGUGUUAUUCAUCUUUAUUGGGUUUAAAGGGUACCUAGACAGUUAAUUAAGCAAUUAGAUGAACUAAUUAACUAGAGUUUAAUGUAAGAAGGAUCGAGUACGGUGAGUGUAGAGAUAAAAUUCUUUGAUACCACUUAGGAACUGGUAACAGCGAAGGCUACCUUCAAUGUAAAAACUGACGUUAAGGGACGAAGG
rnacentral:rRNA from 1 species